rnacentral:rRNA from 1 species
GGCGGACGGGUGAGUAAUGCUUGGGAACUUGCCUUUGCGAGGGGGAUAACAGUUGGAAACGACUGCUAAUACCGCAUAAUGUCUUCGGACCAAACGGGGCUUCGGCUCCGGCGCAAAGAGAGGCCCAAGUGAGAUUAGCUAGUUGGUAAGGUAACGGCUUACCAAGGCGACGAUCUCUAGCUGUUCUGAGAGGAAGAUCAGCCACACUGGGACUGAGACACGGCCCAGACUCCUACGGGAGGCAGCAGUGGGGAAUAUUGCACAAUGGGGGAAACCCUGAUGCAGCCAUGCCGCGUGUGUGAAGAAGGCCUUCGGGUUGUAAAGCACUUUCAGUUGUGAGGAAAAGUUAGUAGUUAAUACCUGCUAGCCGUGACGUUAACAACAGAAGAAGCACCGGCUAACUCCGUGCCAGCAGCCGCGGUAAUACGGAGGGUGCGAGCGUUAAUCGGAAUUACUGGGCGUAAAGCGCACGCAGGCGGUUUGUUAAGCUAGAUGUGAAAGCCCCGGGCUCAACCUGGGAUGGUCAUUUAGAACUGGCAGACUAGAGUCUUGGAGAGGGGAGUGGAAUUCCAGGUGUAGCGGUGAAAUGCGUAGAUAUCUGGAGGAACAUCAGUGGCGAAGGCGACUCCCUGGCCAAAGACUGACGCUC